rnacentral:miRNA from 1 species
CGGUUUAAUUGGUUGAAA